GGACUCUGGAGAAACCCGCCGCUGCGGGUGCCGAAGGUGCAAGGCGGCCGUCCGGCAAGCCGAAUCUCUCAGGCAAAAGGACAGAGUA
rnacentral:ncRNA from 1 species